rnacentral:rRNA from 2 species
CAGUGCGAUCAUACCAGCACUAAUGCACUGAAUCCCAUCAGAACUUCACAAUCAAGCAUGCUUGGGCGAGGGUAGUACUAGGAUGGGUGACCUCUUGAGAAGUCCUCAUGUUGCACCUC